rnacentral:rRNA from 1 species
UUGAACGCUGGCGGCAGGCCUAACACAUGCAAGUCGAGCGGUUGAAAGUAGCUUGCUACUUGAUGCAGCGGCGGACGGGUGAGUAACGCGUGGGAAUCUGCCCAGUAGUGGGGGACGACAGCCGGAAACGGCUGCUAAUACCGCAUACGCCCUACGGGGGAAAGGGGGGGAGCUUCGGACCUCCCGCUAUUGGAUGAGCCCGCGUAGGAUUAGCUAGUUGGUAGGGUAAAGGCCUACCAAGGCUACGAUCCGUAACUGGUCUGAGAGGAUGAUCAGUCACACUGGAACUGAGACACGGUCCAGACUCCUACGGGAGGCAGCAGUGGGGAAUAUUGGACAAUGGGGGAAACCCUGAUCCAGCCAUGCCGCGUGUGUGAAGAAGGCCUUAGGGUUGUAAAGCACUUUCAGUGGGGAGAAAGGUUUGUCACCUAAUACGUGAUGAAAUUGAUGUUACCCACAGAAGAAGCACCGGCUAACUCCGUGCCAGCCGCCGCAGUAA